CCACCAAGCACUUUUUUUGAAAUAGCUUUGAAGAAAUCGAUUAAAACAUCAAAUCAAUCAAUUGCCUGUUCUAACUUAUGCCUAAUACAAAUAGAUCGUCUAAUAUGUGAAAUUGAUUGUAAGGGAUGUGAAAUUGAUUACCAUAGUGAAAAUUUUGAUAUUUUUGAACAUUAUAAUUAAGACAAUUAAUUGUGAGGAUUGUGCAAUCAAUUGCCAUUGUUAAAACUUUGAAAAAUUCUAAUUUAUCUAAACAUCUUUUC
rnacentral:lncRNA from 1 species